GACGAACGCUGGCGGCGUGCUUAACACAUGCAAGUCGAACGGAAAGGCCCUGCUUUUGUGGUGUGCUCGAGUGGCGAACAGGUGAGUAACACGUGAGUAACCUGCCCUUGACUUUGGGAUAACUUCAGGAAACUGGGGCUAAUACCGGAUAGGAGCUCCUGCUGCAUGGUGGGGGUUGGAAAGUUUCGGCGGUUGGGGAUGGACUCGCGGCUUAUCAGCUUGUUGGUGGGGUAGUGGCUUACCAAGGCUUUGACGGGUAGCCGGCCUGAGAGGGUGACCGGCCACAUUGGGACUGAGAUACGGCCCAGACUCCUACGGGAGGCAGCAGUGGGGAAUAUUGCACAAUGGGCGGAAGCCUGAUGCAGCAACGCCGCGUGCGGGAUGACGGCCUUCGGGUUGUAAACCGCUUUCGCCUGUGACGAAGCGUGAGUGACGGUAAUGGGUAAAGAAGCACCGGCUAACUACGUG
rnacentral:rRNA from 1 species